rnacentral:rRNA from 1 species
GAUGAACGCUGGCGGCGUGCCUAAUACAUGCAAGUCGAGCGAACAGAUAAGGAGCUUGCUCCUUUGACGUUAGCGGCGGACGGGUGAGUAACACGUGGGUAACCUACCUAUAAGACUGGAAUAACCCCGGGAAACCGGGGCUAAUGCCGGAUAACAUUUAGAACCGCAUGGUUCUAAAGUGAAAGAUGGUUUUGCUAUCACUUAUAGAUGGACCCGGGCCGUAUUAGCUAGUUGGUAGGGUAACGGCCUACCAAGGCAACGAUUCGUAGCCGACCUGAGAGGCGGGUCGGCCACACUGGAACGUAGACACGGUCCUUACUCCUACGGGAGGCAGCAGUAGGGUACCGUCCGCAGUAGGCGAAAGCCUUGCGGAGCGGCGCCGCGUGAGUUGCGGCGGUCUUCGGAGCGUGAAACCCUGUUAUUAGUGAAGAACAAAUUUGUAAGUAACUGUGCACGUCUUGACGGUACCUAAUCAGAAAGCCACGGCUAACUACGUG